rnacentral:rRNA from 1 species
AACGAACGCUGGCGGCAUGCCUAACACAUGCAAGUCGAACGAGAUCUUCGGGUCUAGUGGCGCACGGGUGCGUAACGCGUGGGAAUCUGCCCUUUGGUUCGGAAUAACAGUUGGAAACGACGGCUAUUACCGGAUGAUGACGAAAGUCCAAAGAUUUAUCGCCAGAGGAUGAGCCCGCGUAGGAUUAGCUAGUUGGUGUGGUAAAGGCGCACCAAGGCGACGAUCCUUAGCUGGUCUGAGAGGAUGAUCAGCCACACUGGGACUGAGACACGGCCCAGACUCCUACGGGAGGCAGCAGUGGGGAAUAUUGGACAAUGGGCGAAAGCCUGAUCCAGCAAUGCCGCGUGAGUGAUGAAGGCCUUAGGGUUGUAAAGCUCUUUUACCCGGGAUGAUAAUGACAGUACCGGGAGAAUAAGCUCCGGCUAACCCCGUGCCAGCCGCCGCGGUAA